UACGUAGGCAGCAAGCGUUGUUCGGAAUUACUGGGCGUAAAGAGUGCGUAGGCGGUUCUUUAAGUCUGUUGUGAAAUCUUCCGGCUUAACUGGGAGGGUGCGGUGGAAACUGGAGUGCUUGAGGGUGGGAGAGGUAAGCGGAAUUGCUGGUGUAGCGGUGAAAUGCGUAGAUAUCAGGAGGAACACCUGUGGUGUAGACAGCUUACUGGACCGCUUCUGACGCUGAGACACGAAAGCGUGGGUAGCAAACAGG
rnacentral:rRNA from 1 species